rnacentral:rRNA from 1 species
AGAUUGAACGCUGGCGGCAUGCCUAACACAUGCAAGUCGAACGGGAGUAGCAAUACUCUAGUGGCGGACGGGUGAGGAAUACGUAGGAAUUUGCCCUUAAGUGGGGGAUAACCCGGGGAAACCCGGAUUAAUACCGCAUGACCUCGAAAGAGCAAAGUGGGGGAUCGCAAGACCUCACGCUUUUGGAGAAGCCUACGUCGGAUUAGCUAGUUGGUGAGGUAAUGGCUCACCAAGGCGACGAUCCGUAACUGGUCUGAGAGGAUGAUCAGUCACACCGGAACUGAGACACGGUCCGACUCCGUACGGGAGCAGCAGUGGGAAUAUUGGA